CACGACAACAACAAGGUAGCAGCACAACACGACAACAACAUGGUAGCAACACAACACGACAACAACAAGGUAGCAGCACAACACGACAACAACAUGGUAGCAGCACAACACGACAACAACAUGGUAGCAGCACAACACGACAACAACAUGGUAGCAACACAUCACGACGUUGUAGCAGCACAACACGACAACAACAUGGUAGCAACACAUCACGACACAACGUUGUAGCAGCACAACACUACAACAACAUGGUAGCAGCACAACACGACAACAACAUGGUAGCAGCACAACACGACAACAACAUGGUAGCAGCACAACACGACAACAACAAGGUAGAAGCACAAACCAUGGUACAAACAUUAUCAGGCAGAGACAACAGUACAAAGGGCAAGAAGCCACAACUAUCAGUAAGAGUGUCCAUGAUUGAGUCUUUGAACGAAGAGAUGGCUAGACAGUGUACCAUGUGAUUACCUCCAGCUCUAAACUCUCAGAGGUAGUAAUCACCCCUGUGGGGAGAGGGGCAUUCUUCUUACCAGACCACAUGACCUUUGUUUUGGAGGUGUUCAGAACAAGGUUAAGGGCAGAGAAAGCUUGUUGAACACAGAGAGCAGUGUUGUAGAG
ensembl:lncRNA